UACGUAGGGGGCAAGCGUUGUCCGGAUUUAUUGGGCGUAAAGAGCGUGUAGGCGGCCUGGAAGGUCAGCUGUGAAAACUCGAGGCUCAACCUCGAGACGUCGGUUGAAACCACCUGGCUAGAGUCCGGAAGAGGAGAGUGGAAUUCCCGGUGUAGCGGUGAAAUGCGCAGAUAUCAGGAGGAACACCAGCGGCGAAGGCGGCGCUCUGGGCCGGAACUGACGCUGAGGAGCGAAAGCGUGGGUAGCAAACAGG
rnacentral:rRNA from 1 species